UGCCCGUUUUGUUGUUUGCAUUAGCAGAAGAACCACAGCCAUCGCCCGUCUCCCAUCUCCAAGAUGGCGGAGGCAGCUUCAACCUCACCUCUCGCGAGGAGUUUGUCCCACUGUCUCUGAUUAGCCCCGAGGUCAGAGGGCAGCCACAGAUGGUAUAUGAUUUGUGAAACUUUGUGGAUCCCUUUCCCACAUCGCCAGUCUUCAUCCCAUUACCUGUCGUUCAGGUAUCACAGGCUUUGUGAGAACUCAGCUGCCAGAAUUUUAACAAUGAGAGAAAACAUUCAUUCUCACUUCUGAAGGCUUUCAUUGCUGUAAUGAUCUCCAGGUGCUGUGUUGGAACUCUAGAACUGGUGCAAGCUGUUUUCACACCAUUUGCCUCCUGUUGCGUGCCCUUCCUCUCUAUGCAGAUCAGAGUCUGGAAAUCCGGAUAGCGGGAUGUUGACAAAUUCCAGUGCUCUAUUAAACUUUUUUCUCCCUCCCCCCCACCCCCGCCAAAUCUUGUUCCUUCCCCAGGGUUCCAUCCUCUGUCUUCCUCUCACUCAACACCCUGCUGCUUGAAUUCAAUAAAAUGCUAUGAUCUACCAA